rnacentral:rRNA from 1 species
UUGGGCCUAAGCUCCGUAGCCGGCGCUGUAAGUUUUCGGUUAAAUCUGUACGCUCAACGUACAGGCUGCCGGGAAUACUGCAGCGCUAGGGAGUGGGAGAGGUAGACGGUACUCGGUAGGAAGGGGUAAAAUCCUUUGAUCUAUUGAUGACCACCUGUGGCGAAGGCGGUCUACCAGAACACGUCCGACGGUGAGGGAUGAAAGCUGGGGGAGCAAACCGGAUUAGAUACCCGGGUAGUCCCAGCUGUAAACUAUGCAAACUCANUGAUGCAUUGGCUUGUGGCCAAUGCAGUGCUGCANGGAANCCNUUAANUUUGCCNCCUGGNAANUACNUACGCAAGUAUGAAACUUA